GACCAAAAUUUCUGGAGUGAACACACAUACGUGGGCAACUAAAUCAUCUAAUCAGACAACCUGGUUUUUCACAAGAGUUGUGCACAUGUGAGCUCCAAUGGACCUCUUGCUGCAGCUGUUUGUGACCCUUUCCUCUGCAAAUCUGCAUAUCAUUUAUGUUGGUGAAUAAAGGGAGUUUAAACAUGGCCAACACAUUUGAAUUGUUAGACUGAAAGAAACACUAUGCCUCCGUUUCCGUGUGUGUGACCUGGGGUUGCUGAUCCUCCAGGCCUACCCUAAAAGUGAGGUGCCUCUGAAAGGAGGGGAGAAUUCAGUACUGUGGAGUUGGACUUUUAUGACUCUUUGUGGUGCCAGAGAAGGCCACCAAACCAAGCUGAGCACAGGCAUCAUAGUACCAAACAGCUGUGACAUUGAUCCGAGCAGCAGAGCAUCCAAGGGCAUGAGUCAGAUCCAGUUACACUCCUCCAUUCUUGAAGCUAGUAAUCUCCAUCCCACACCUGUGACCUAAGAUGGUGCUUCUCUUUCUUCCUGAGCUGAUGGCCGUGGUGUGUGCUUAAUUAUUCAACAGGGCCCCAGCUCAUCUUUCCACAGAACCAGCUAACACAAACCAGAGAAGCCAGCAGAGGUGACUGUAUCAAUACUACAGUGACAACACAAGGACCAGUGGUUAGUCAUAGCCUGAUGAGAUCCCUUCCUGUCUCCUUCCUCUGCCACAUCUUUGUGCCGUCAUUUGCAUCCGGGUCUCACCCCUAAGCCACACCAGGAGGUUUAACCUGAGGCAAAUACAACAAAACAAACAAGCAAACCUGUCUCCCAAGUGUUGAUAACACAUGGAGCUGUUCCCAGCCACUUCCUCCUGGAAGGUGAGCACCCAGCUGCCGACAGGUGCUGUGGACUCAAGAGUGAUCACACAGAAAGAAAGCGGGUGAUGGAGGCUCCUGCACUGCAUUUGUUACAAGGCAUGCAUGUCUAAGACCUCUUUUAGUCUUAGUCAAAUAUUAAACUAUGGUGUGGUUUACCCCCCCUGAGUCAUCUUUGGAAUAGUUCUUUCCAGACUGAGAGCAGACACUUCAAAGACAGAAAAAAGUUAACAAUGACUCACUGUUUCAGGACCCCUUCAAAACACUCCCAAGUUAUAAAACCACACACCCUACUUUCCCUUCAUGCUAACAUGAAUAAUACAUGUCUCAGCUGAAGCCAUGAGAAUUUAUUCAUUUUGCAGAAGACAAAGACUGUAAUAGGAUUUUGAGGUUAGGAGAGCAAACAUUGAGUUGGAAGAAGAGCUGCUGCCACAGAGAGGGGUUCCUAGUAGAAGUUCUUGAUCUUGGGCCCAAUCUCAAUUAAAAAUUUAAUUACUGAAUUCCUUCAGAAUAAACUGGGCAUAUUUAGAAACUGUGCUACUAUUACUGAAUAUACUGAACAAAACUAAGUAUAAAGUGACUUUAAAGACAGUUAGGAUGAGCAGCAGAAAACCUUGCAGCAGAACUUAGCACAGCCUUCUGCUAAGAGUGAAAAACAAAAAAACACCUAUUGUAAAGGCUAGACUUCAUCCUCUUAUGAAGGGGCUCAUCCUUUCACAAAUAUUUUUAUAAAGUGAGGGGAGACACUAGAGAUGCCAAUCAAUGAAUCCUCCCAGCGCUGUAUUUGUAGGAAUUACAUUACUCCUAUAUUGCUUGGCACAAGCAGAAGAGACAUCAUGUCCAUCAGGACAUCUGCAGGAAAUCUGUGACAGACUUUGUAACACAACACUGCCGCUGAGAUAGAUUAAAUUAUUGCCAGUGAGACAAAAAUAUCAAACGGCAGUGUUUAGGCACAAUUCUACCAGUGUGGAUACCCAAACAGAGUUGCUGGUUUGCCAUGGGACCAGCUGCUCUCUGAUCUCCCUGCUCCUGUGUCAGAGAAUUGCACCGACUCCACUCCUGGCUCCACUCCAAAGGCUUUGAAUAUUUUUCCAGGAAAACCCUAUUCCAGGUUAAACACAAGAGAGAGUUCCCAGCAGAGCAUCUCAGGCAAUGCAGAACAGAAGGAGACAACCUUGUUGCCAUUUUUAUUUCUCCUGCAUAUAUUUAGAUGUUCAAAUACAACAAAACAAGCAAGGUCAGCUCCCCCUUUACUGCUUGCAUGGUCUGCAGGCAGGUCCAAAAGAUCUGGUUUGUAAAUGGAGUGGAGACACCCAUGCUUCUUCUGACAAAGGCUCAUAAAGCUAAUGAGGAAAGCAAACAUCUCUAAGGAAAUCAGCUCUGCAGAUACACGUUUCCUCCUCUUAAUUUUCAAGGGGUUUUUUUAUACCUUACCACUGCCAUAUCGAAGUAAUUCCCUUUUCCUAACAGAUGUCAGUACUAUACAAAUGCCAACAUCAGGCUGGAGAAAGUCAUGAGAGGUAUGGAAAAAAUAAUAUUCUCACAAUAUUAUCUUCCUGUGGUGCUUGUGACAGCCAGGAGACAGGGAACAUGUCUCUAAGGACGCUCAAGAAAUCCUGUGAGGAUACACCAGGCUGGAUCAGAGAUACAGAAAGAAACAGCAAGAAUUGAAAUGCUGGACACCAGAACCGUCUCCCAAACCACAAAGCCAACUCCUGUUUGAUACAUAGCUGCUGCUCACCACCUCUUUCUGAAGACAUACCAUGGAAUGCUGUCUCAGAUUUGCUGUUGUUAUUUUAAGUGAUGAAAUAUUUCACUAUAAAUAAUGUCCAAGCAAAUUACCAACACUCCCAGCUCUCCUAAGGACAAUGACAGAGGGAUAAGAGCACUUUACCCAGGGGUUUUAGGGCUGUUUACCAACAGAGAUGACACAGGUGUGUGUCGAACAGAGGAAUUUGAUCAUGGGUCUGCAAGUAGAAGCAGGAAGGAGGAAAAUACAUGGACAGGCAGCCUUUGCAUUCCCAUGCCCACAAACAGCACCAUCCUGCGAGGCAAGGGCCCUACAACUAGACCACAGCUAACCUAUAUGAGAUUGAGGACAACAAUGGAGUGCUGCUCAUGGGUGGAGGGUGAUUACUUAACAUUUUCACUGCUGCGGCAGCAGAGGUCCUGCCACUCAGGCAGCCUCCAAGUAUGAACCCAAGUGCUUCCACUUUAAAAAAAAAAAUAAA